AGGGAAUAUUGCACAAUGGAGGAAACUCUGAUGCAGCGACGCCGCGUGAGUGAUGAAGGACUUCGGUUCGUAAAGCUCUGUCGUACGGGAAUAAGAAAGUGAAUGUACCGUGCAAGAAAGGAUCGGCUAACUUCGUGCCAGCAGCCGCGGUAAGACGAGGGAUCCUAGCGUUGUUCGGAAUCAUUGGGCGUAAAGCGGGUGUAGGUGGCUUUGUAAGUCAGGCGUGAAAGCCCAGGGCUCAACCCUGGAAGUGCAUUUGAUACUGCGAAGCUUGAGUGCUGGAGAGGCUAUUAGAAUUCCAGGUGUAGUGGUGAAAUACGUAGAUAUCUGGAGGAAUACCGGAGGCGAAGGCGGAUAGCUGGCCAGACACUGACACUCAGACCCGAAAGUGUGGGGAUCAAAC
rnacentral:rRNA from 1 species